GAUGAACGCUGGCGGCGUGCCUAAUACAUGCAAGUCGAGCGAACGGACGAGAAGCUUGCUUCUCUGAUGUUAGCGGCGGACGGGUGAGUAACACGUGGAUAACCUACCUAUAAGACUGGGAUAACUUCGGGAAACCGGAGCUAAUACCGGAUAAUAUUUUGAACCGCAUGGUUCAAAAGUGAAAGACGGUCUUGCUGUCACUUAUAGAUGGAUCCGCGCUGCAUUAGCUAGUUGGCAAGGUAACGGCUUACCAAGGCAACGAUGCAUAGCCGACCUGAGAGGGUGAUCGGCCACACUGGAACUGAGACACGGUCCAGACUCCUACGGGAGGCAGCAGUAGGGAAUCUUCCGCAAUGGGCGAAAGCCUGACGGAGCAACGCCGCGUGAGUGAUGAAGGUCUUCGGAUCGUAAAACUCUGUUAUUAGGGAAGAACAUAUGUGUAAGUAACUGUGCACAUCUUGACGGUACCUAAUCAGAGAGCCACGGCUAACUACGUG
rnacentral:rRNA from 1 species